rnacentral:rRNA from 1 species
UACAUAGGGUGCGAGCGUUAAUCGGAAUUACUGGGCGUAAAGCGUGCGCAGGCGGUGAUGUAAGACAGGUGUGAAAUCCCCGGGCUUAACCUGGGAACUGCAUUUGUGACUGCAUCGCUGGAGUGCGGCAGAGGGGGAUGGAAUUCCGCGUGUAGCAGUGAAAUGCGUAGAUAUGCGGAGGAACACCGAUGGCGAAGGCAAUCCCCUGGACCUGUACUGACGCUCAUGCACGAAAGCGUGGGGAGCAAACAGG